AACAAACGCUGGCGGCGUGCCUAAUACAUGCAAGUCGAACGGGGAAAGCUUUCGGGUGAGUACUAGUGGCGCACGGGUGAGUAACGCGUGGAUAAACUGCCUCAGAGUGGGGGAUAACUAGUCGAAAGAUUAGCUAAUACUGCAUAAGACCACAAGAACUCCGGUUCAAGCGGUCAAAGGUUUUUCGCUGUAAGAUGAGUCCGCGUAAGAUUAGCUAGUUGGUAGGGUAACGGGCUACCAAGGCGACGAUCUUUAACUGGUCUGAGAGGAUGAUCAGUCACACUGGAACUGAGACACGGUCCAGACGCCUACGGGAGGCAGCAGUAGGGAAUAUUGCACAAUGGAGGAAACUCUGAUGCAGCGACGCCGCGUGAGUGAUGAAGGCCUUCGGGUCGUAAAGCUCUGUCGCAGGGGAAUAACACAAUGUAGGUACCCUGUAAGAAAGGAUCGGCUAACUUCGUGCCAGCCGCCGCAGUAACAC
rnacentral:rRNA from 1 species